rnacentral:lncRNA from 1 species
CAGAGAAUGCAGGUGGAGAACAGCUCUGUGAAGACACAGUUCUUUCUCUUGGGAGUCAGUGACCACCCAGAACUGCAGAGUGCUCUUUUUGCUGUGUUUUUGUCCAUCUACUCUGUUACCCUGUUGCGCAACCUUGGGAUGGUUUUAUUGAUCACAGCCAGUCCCCCUUUGCACACCCCUAUGUACUUUUUUCUCCACAUCUUGUCUUUCGUAGACGCCUGCUACUCUUCAGUCAUUGCCCCCAAGUUACUUGUGGGCUUAAUUUCUGAUAAGAAGACCAUUUCUUACAAUGGCUGUGCUGCACAGUUAUAUUUCUUCUGCUAUUUGGAGGACAUAGAGUCUUUUCUCUUGACUGUCAUGGCUUAUGACCAGUACAUAGCCAUCUGUAACCCCUGCUUUACACCAUUAUUAUGUCCAAGAGGAUUUGUUGCCAGCUUGCAAUUGGAGCAUUUCUGGGAGGCACCAUGACCUCAAUCGUCCACACCACAAAUAUAUUUCACCUGUCUUUCUGCUCCAGUGAAAUUAACCAUUUCUUUUGUGACACCUCCCCUCUCUUCUCUCUGUCCUGCACUGACACUUACAUCCAUGACAUUGUACUGGUGGUCUUUGCUAGUUUAGUGGAAGCCCUCUGCCUUCUAAUAGUUCUCCUCUCUUAUAUCCUCAUCUUAGCACCCAUUCUUAAAACAGGUUCUGCAGAGGGAAGAAGAAAAGGAUUCUCCACUUGUGCUUCCCAUCUGACCGUGGUCUCUAUCUACCAUGGUACCCUGAUCUUCAUUUAUUUGUGCCCUGGCACUGUCCAUUCAAUGGCUAUUGAUAAAGUGACCUCUGUGUUCUAUACAUUGAUUAUACCUAUGUUAAAUCCCUUAAUUUACAGCCUUAGGAACAAAUAUGUAAAAAAUGCUUUGAGGAAAAUGAUUAGCAGAAAAUUUCUUUCUUAA